rnacentral:lncRNA from 1 species
GGCUGCAUGAAGCAAGGGCGAAAGUCCCCUUCGCCCGGGCGCUGCCCUCUGCCUGCUGUCCCCUGUGCUCCUGUUCCCCGUGGCUGCCCAGGGACAGGUGUGUGGGAUGGAGGAGGCGGGAGAGGCUGAGUCCUCCCCAGUGGACCCCCAGAUGCAGACCCUGAGGCAAGGGAGAGUGAGAAAGUGAAGGAAAGAACACAGCUGGAAAUGCGACCAAGAAUGAACCCCAGCCCGGGCCACCCAGAAUGAGAUGUCUCCACACACAGAGAGCUGCAGCCGAUGCCGGCCGGUGACUUGGGACUUGGAUGCUUAACAGGAGGCUCCCCCUCUCUUGGGAGGAGGUAGAGAGCAGUGAGGAAGAGGACUCAGCCUCCAUGCCUCCCGCCAGCCCAGCUGCGCCCGAAUCACCUCCCUCCUGAAAGGAUGUCAGCCUCCGCUUGGACACCGUGGAGACAGGGCCCUCCUUGUGCUUCAGAAGCAUCGACGUGUCAGAAAAUCAUCUUAACGCCAAGUCUGGAAAGAAUGGCUUUGAGGCUGUGCACACAAAGGAAGGAGGGAGAGCCCCAGGUGUCGCCGGGGACCGUGCGGCUGACAGAGCCAGCAGGGCGGUGGCGUGUGAGCCGCGCUCUGGAUAUAUAAGGAUCUGACGCUGCUGGCAAUGUCUGAGCUCUACGCUCACCCAUCUGUCGGCUGCUAUCAUCACCGGGUGGGAUUAGCGGAGAUCCACUCUUUCAUAUUGAAAUCUUCACAAGAGAACGAAUCACUUUUAUAAUAAAAGAAAA